rnacentral:rRNA from 1 species
UACGUAGGGUGCAAGCGUUUGUCCGGAAUUAUUGGGCGUAAAGAGUUCGUAGGCGGUUUGUCGCGUCCGUUGUGAAAGCUUGGGGGCUCAACCCCAAGUCUGCAGUGGAUACGGGCAGACUAGAGUCAGGUAGGGGAGAACGGAAUUCCUGGUGUAGCGGUGAAAUGCGUAGAUAUUGGGAAGAACACCUGAGGCGAAGGCGGGUUGCUGGGCUGAUACUGACGCUGAGGCGCGAAAGCCAGGGGAGCAAACGGG